rnacentral:rRNA from 1 species
ACGCUCGACACCUACGGAGGCAGCAGUAGGGAAUCUUCCACAAUGGGCGGCAAGCCUGAUGGAGCAACACCGCGUGAGUGAAGAAGGGUUUCGGCUCGUAAAGCUCUGUUGUUGGAGAAGAACGUGCGUGAGAGUAACUGUUCACGCAGUGACGGUAUCCAACCAGAAAGUCACGGCUAACUACGUGUCAGCAGCCGCGGUAAUCUGAGCGGGCUGGCAAGGC